rnacentral:lncRNA from 1 species
UUUCACAAAUCAAAGCAUUCUCGCUUAGAGAGACUCAGCGAGCCUCCCAGCAUGCUCUUGCUCAGUGAGCCUCAAGCGAGCUCCCUGCGAGACAAAACAUAAAGCCCAAAGCUGGAGAAUUUCUCUUUCUCGCUUAGCAAGCUUCAAUCGAGACCUCGCUUAGCAAGAUAAUCCUCUCGCUUAGCAAGAAUAACAGAACAUCACAUCGCAACAACCUGAACUCUCUCCUAGCAAGAUAUUCCCUUGCCUAGAAAGGACAAC